UACGGAGGGGACUAGCGUUGUUCGGAAUUACUGGGCGUAAAGCGCGCGUAGGCGGAUUUGCAAGUCGGGGGUGAAAGCCCGAGGCUCAACCUCGGAACUGCCCUCGAUACUGCAAAUCUCGAGUCCGAGAGAGGUGAGUGGAAUUCCUAGUGUAGAGGUGAAAUUCGUAGAUAUUAGGAAGAACACCAGUGGCGAAGGCGGCUCACUGGUCCGGUACUGACGCUGAGGCGCGAAAGCGUGGGGAGCAAACAGG
rnacentral:rRNA from 1 species